CGUCAAAUCAGCACGGCCCUUACGUCCAGGGCUACACACGUGCUACAAUGGCCGGUACAAAGGGCAGCUACCUGGUGACAGGAUGCAAAUCUCCAAAGUCGGUCUCAGUUCGGAUCGGAGUCUGCAACCCGACUCCGUGAAGUUGGAUUCGCUAGUAAUCGCGCAUCAGCCAUGGCGCGGUGAAUACGUUCCCGGGCCUU
rnacentral:rRNA from 1 species